GACAGAAGGUGCAAGCGUUACUCGGAAUUACUGGGCGUAAAGCGUCUGUAGGCGAUUUCCCACGUCUGAUAUGAAAUUGCGGGGCUCAACCCCGCAUCCGUAUUGGAAACGAGGAGAAUUGAGCCAUUCAGAGGUAUCUGGAAUGUCGUGUGUAGGGGUAAAAUCCGUAGAUACACGAUGGAACGCCAAAAGCGAAGGCAGGAUACUAGGAAUGUGCUGACGCUCAGAGACGAAAGCGUGGGGAGCAAAGGGG
rnacentral:rRNA from 1 species